rnacentral:rRNA from 1 species
GACGAACGCUGGCGGCGUGCUUAACACAUGCAAGUCGAACGGAAAGGCCCUGCUUUUGUGGGUUUCUCGAGUGGCGAACGGAUGAGUAACACGUGAGUAACCUGCCCUUGACUUUGGGAUAACUUCAAGAAACUGCGGCUAAUACCGGAUAGUAGCUCCUGCUGCAUGGUGGGGGUUGGAAAGUUUCGGCGGUUGGGGAUGGACUCGCGGCUUAUCAGCGUGUUGGUGUGGUAGUGGCUUACCAAGGCUUUGACGGGUAGCCGGCCUGAGAGGGUGACCGGCCACAUUGGGACUGAGAUACGGACCAGACUCGUACGGGAGGCAGCAGUGGGGAAUAUGGCGCAAUGGGCGGAAGCGUGAUGCGGCAGCGCCGCGUGCGGGAUGACGUCCUUCGGGUUGUAAACCGCUUUAGCCUGUGACGAAGCGUGAGUGACGGUAAUGGGUAAAGAAGCACCGGCUAACUACGUG